GGAAAACCUUCUGGAACCACAUAGGAUCGUAUGAAUGACAUGAACUCCUCAGCAGGAGCUUGUGGAGAGUGCAAACUAACAGCACGAAUCGCAUUCUUCUUCUUCUUCUUCAAGUUCAAUUGUUCAGAACCUACACUCUCAUCAGCAAAAUACUUCCAUCUACGACCAUCGAUCUCUUCACAACAAAGCAAUCUCAAACUCGAAUCAACAAAUUCCCGAUCUACCACUCCAAAACUAGCAUUUUCCGGUACUGAACCAACCGACGUCACAUAUGGAGAAGAAGCAAGAUCAGCACUAAUACGGAGGGUUUCACGAACAAGUAAUUUAGCAUCCGUUGCUGUUAGCGUCUGAGAUGAUGAAGAAGAAGAAUUCGGAGGUGGUUUAAGCUUCAUUGUUAUACUUUUUGGUUAUGGAAGAGGAGAAUCUCAGAUUAACCAAGUUUUCAUGAAGGAAAAUUCGGAGCUUUGGUAAUGUCGAAAACGGAGAUUAAGAGGAAAAAGUGGUG
rnacentral:misc_RNA from 1 species